AGCAGCCGCGGUAAUUCCAGCUCCAAUAGCGUAUAUUAAAGUUGUUGCAGUUAAAAAGCUCGUAGUUGAACUUCGGGGUUUACCCAUUGGUCAGGCUUAAUUGUCUGUACUGGUGAGAUGAAUCUCUACCUUCUGAGGAACUUUUAUGCCAUUUAGUUGGUGUGAUAGGAAAUCAGGACUGUUACUUUGAAAAAAUUAGAGUGUUUAAAGCAGGCUAACGUCUGAAUACAUUAGCAUGGAAUAAUGAAAUAGGACGGAUUGGUUCUAUUUCGUUGGUUUCUAGGAUCACCGUAAUGAUUAAUAGGGAUAGUUGGGGGCAUUAGUAUUCAAUUGUCAGAGGUGAAAUUCUUGGAUUUAUUGAAGACUAACUACUGCGAAAGCAUUUGCCAAGGAUGUUUUCAUUAAUCAAGAACGAAAGUCAGGGGAUCGAAGACGAUCAGAUACCGUCGUAGUCUUAACCAUAAACUAUGCCGACUAGGGAUCGGAUGAUGUUAAUUUUUAAUGA
rnacentral:rRNA from 1 species